UCCGGACAAUUUUCUUGUGCCUUCAGACAAGAAACGGAUAUCGUAGAAUGCACAAGCGUAAUUCCUUGUUCCGUCUACUGAACAUUGAACCUGAAACCAUAUGCUUUGGAGUGUUCUUUUUUUUUGACACCUUAAGGAAAAGACGAGAUCAAAUCCGCUUCGGUAGGAAAAUCAUUAAUCAUUAUAACAUUUCUUUGUUUCCAGAUCCCACAGGGUCGAUGAUGAGCUUGGCACUUUUGUCUUUAAUAAUUCAUUCCGAUUUCGUGCAUUUUAAACGAAAAAAUUAUUACACUAAGUUUACACACGAACUGCGAUACAGCAUCAUGAGCAAAGGCAAAAGAAGCGGAAUUGUUAACUAUAGUUCUUCUCUUUGUGUGGAGCAGCAGCAACAGGAAAAUAAAGUCGAACCCGCCGCCACAGAAGGAAACAGACGACAGGGUGACCUUAGCGUGAACGCAAUGAUGUCGUUGUCAGUAUAAAAGAGACCAUGUCACAUUAGGAAGUAGGAAACACAAACACACAAAAAGUGUGUGCAAAUUGGUGUUCACAGUGGCCAGCAGCAGCAACAGCAGUACUACCUCCCUUUACCACCAACGUCGAUCAAAAGCUGCUCCUUACAACAAUGAAAUAGUAGUUUUGUGUUGCUUCCUGCCGUCGUCCAACCGCCAUCAUACCGACAUAAGAAUGCUGCUCUCGCACUACUACCUGCACGGUUGCUGCUGCUAUCUGUCUCUCGCAUCGCAUCUGUCUGCUGCUCUUGUGUGACGCGCGUGCCACAGACUCGCACUUGAUGGGGAAAAGAAGAAGGUCACCACCAUCCCCGAGCCGACGACCGCCAACGGCUUGGCUUUUUGUUGCGAUACUACGGUCCGCCGCAUCGAACAACAAAAUGUUGUCGUGCCAGUGCAGUGCCGUUUGGAAUCAACGUGCCACUCUAUCGGGCAAGAGCAAGCCAUGAACGGCGACGUGGAUUUCAUGCUCUCGGUGUGUUUUCAGAAAAAGCAAGUCUUGUUGUGACGCAAAAUGAGAACAAGAAAGAGAAAGAGAGCACGGAAGCCAAGCAAAACAACAGAGCGAGAGAGUUUCUAUGUGUGUGAUGCAAAGCCAAACCCCAAUGGGAGGGGGGCUAGUAGAGUCGGAAAGAAAAUAAAAGGAGAAAAUUCCUAUAAUCGACCUUGCGACAGACAACGUGUGAUGGCCGCAUACAAAAUACCGUUAGAUUGACCUAUCUAAUGACCAGAGAAGGGGCAGAGGAUAAUGUUGCUGAGACUGAGAUUCUAGGGGGAGGCAGGCCGCAUGUGCCUGUGGUCAACUGCAGAAUUAACAUCACUCAAGAUUUCUAACAAUGGUUCCCAACCGUACUACUUGUCUAGUCUACUGCGUAUAUGAUAUUUCUACGGAUCAAAUAGACCAUCAAAUGUGCCAUCUAAAUCCAGCUUACCGUAUUGAAAUGUCAAUCGAGUGAGCAAAUGACUGGGGGGCUUUGAAAGGCAUGAUGCCUUUUCUUCAUGACGAUUGAUCACCAAAACCUAACACGGAAAUCAUUCGCGCGGCUUGGACGGUUCGUCCCGUGAUUUGUGAGCGGAGCUCCGAACAUGAUGUGUAGAAUAAUGUUCAAUGUUUGAAUCACGGAACAGAACAACACACGUUAUGCCGUUAUCCCGUUAGCCGCCGGCCCAAAGAAGGAAGCCGGAUGUCACGAUCAAAUGCUGCGUGCUUCGACUGCACUCAAGGAUAUCGAGAGAAACUGGCGAAAAAAAAAAACACGUUUGGCAUUUCCUGGUGAACAGGGAGCGAGCCAGUCUAGCAAAUGUUCGUUUUAAUAAACACAGUUUAUAUACUUCAAACGUUCAGCACAUUCCACUCUUGCUCGCUUUGCUUCAACCGAUGGUAACUAAGAUCAGAAUAAGGU